GACGAACGCUGGCGGUGUGCUUAACACAUGCAAGUCGAACGGAAAGGCCCUGCUUUUGUGGGGUGCUCGAGUGGCGAACGGGUGAGUAACACGUGAGUAACCUGCCCUUGACUUUGGGAUAACUUCAUGAAACUGGGGCUAAUACCGGAUAGGAGCUCCUGCUGCAUGGUGGGGGUUGGAAAGUUUCGGCGGUUGGGGAUGGACUCGCGGCUUAUCAGCUUGUUGGUGGGGUAGUGGCUUACCAAGGCUUUGACGGGUAGCCGGCCUGAGAGGGUGACCGGCCACAUUGGGACUGAGAUACGGCCCAGACUCCUACGGGAGGCAGCAGUGGGGAAUAUUGCACAAUGGGCGGAAGCCUGAUGCAGCAACGCCGCGUGCAGGAUGACGGCCUUCGGGUUGUAAACCGCUUUCGCCUGUGACGAAGCGUGAGUGACGGUAAUGGGUAAAGAAGCACCGGCUAACUACGCG
rnacentral:rRNA from 1 species